UGGGGAAUAUUGGACAAUGGGGGCAACCCUGAUCCAGCCAUGCCGCGUGAGUGAAGAAGGCCUUCGGGUUGUAAAGCUCCUUUAGUCGGAAAGAAAGAGUUGCAAUGAAUAAUUGUGAUUUAUGACGGUACCGACAGAAAAAGCACCGGCCAACUACGUGCCAGCAGCCGCGGCAAUACGUAGGGUGCGAGCGCUAAUCGGAAUUACUGGGCGUAAAGGGUGCGCAGGCGGUCUUGCAAGCCAGUUGUGAAAGCCCCGGGCUUAACCUGGGAAUUGCGUUUGAAACUACAAGUCUAGAGUGCAGCAGAGGGGGGUGGAAUUCCAUGUGUAGCAGUGAAAUGCGUAGAGAUGUGGAAGAACACCGAUGGCGAAGGCAGCUCCCUGGGUUGACACUGACGCUCAUGCACGAAAGCGUGGGGAGCAAACA
rnacentral:rRNA from 1 species